GACCAAUUUAUGAUGAAGCAAAAAUGUAGGCUGAAAAAGUUAACAAAAGAAAAUGAUGAAUCAAACAUGGAGGUUAAAAAACUAAGACUCACAAAUCAGGAAUAUAAACAAGAGUUGUUGGAACUAGAAAUGGCUAUGAAGAACAUGAUAAAGUGGAAUUUUUUUGAAGAUUAUGUUUUUUUUCUUAUUUUCACUGUAUUAAUAUUCAUGAUGUUUUAGUUUUAGAAGAU
rnacentral:lncRNA from 1 species